UAAUGUGUACAUAUCUCUUGUAACAGGCUUUUUAUACUUAUAUAUAUAUAUAUGAAAAUCAAAGCUGGGCAAGUUAACCAUUGCGUAAAGUAGUUUUCCUAGUAAACUUAUUCUAAAAAAAUAAAAAAAUAUUUAAGUAAAAGUUGAUUUUAAAAUAACCUUUACAAACGUAUUUUGUGCUUGAAUAUUUUGACUUCAAUAGAGACACUCGUUUGGGUAUCCCAUAUCCCUGCAUGCCCGACAAAUAAUGUGAUACUGAUAACCAAGUAUAUAGUCGAUUUUUCGUCGAAAAACAAAAGUAAAAACUUAGAUACACGGUUUUUUUUUUACGAAAAAUUCAAAAAUAGCUUUUUAAGAAUAAUUAAAAUUUUAACAAUAUAACUAAGUUUAGUUAAGAUUAUUUAUUAAAAUAAACAACUAUGUUAUUUUCUAGCACUUUUUUUUUUUUUUUUUUAUCAACCUAGUUGUGUUAAAAUUUAUCAACAAAUGGAACUUUUAACUUUUAAAAUUUAUAGAUAAGCUUUGAAUAAAUCUUCAAGUGUACUACUUUUAUUUUUAUCCCGUCCUUCACAUUUUUAACCGUACCGAAAAUUAUAAUUAAUCGUUUUUAUCCGGUUGUAAAUAUUAAAAUAUAGUGAUAAUAUAGAUACAAACGAUUGAAUUUUCUUUUUGAACAAUCUUAGACGCAUGUAUGUUCUGAACAGUUACGAUACCCUUAAAUUCGAAAUCCCUAACAGUUCUAAAAUAAUAUCUAUAUUGGUACUUUCCGAGGUUAUUAUAUUCUGCGCGUCUUACUGCAGAUAAUCGAUUACUUUGUGUACACAUCGCGUUUUAAAUAAAUAACAGAUAUAAAUGAAGUUUCAAAGCUUAAUGCUACCGCCUCAGGGCUCCGAAUGUAUGUGCAGUAACCUCCGUCACUGGCCAUAGGAAUAGGAUAGUCGAAUUCAUGGAAGGAGAAGUAUAGCAAUUAACGCAUUUUGUAUAUGUUCUCGGGAUGCUGCACAUGAAACGACGGUAUAGCGAUAAAUAUAUUAUUUGUACUUAAAACGAUUAUACUAUCUAUAGAUGUAAAACGGUUUUUGAAUUUAGAUGACUAGCGAUUCUACGGAGUGGGGAAUAAUAUUCACUAGAUACAGUGGGAUACAGUGGGAUACAGUAGCGGGUCCAGGGGGGGCACGAGAACACAUGCUCCCCUGUCAUUGGACUAGAGUUUAUUGAUAUAUUUUACAUUAAUUCACUACAAUCUAAUUUAUAGUUAAUUUACUGAAAAUAUAAACGACGUGUCUCCCUUUGAAAAACGUCCGGAUCCGUUGCUAAAGGGGACAAGUUCCCCAAGUCCCUGUCCCUCUACGUCGUCGACGCAGCCACGCACAUCGCACGCCCGUUUCGCGAAAAUAAUAUUAUACGUUCGUAUAUAUUAUUGUGUCGGGUGUUGCGCGGACGACACGUGCGGUAUAAUAAUAUUAGAUUAAACCGGUAUAGCCGACGCGGUCGUGUCGAGCGGAUUCUAUAAUUUAAUUGGGAAACGGGGAGCAGGGGAAAAAAUCCUAAAAAAAAAAAAAAAAAAAAAAACCUUUAAGCUUAAAGGCGCGGCGGCGUGACGAAAAACCACUGUAAAUGGAAAAAUAUACACACUUAUUAUCGUGCGGGACGUAUAAACACACCUAUAUAUAUGUAUGUAUACGGCGGGUAUACCUAUAAUAUAAUACGACCGUGCGAUCCGCCAUUUUCGUUAAAACGUCACCGGGUACUUACUGACGACGACGGCGUACGUUGUUGAAAAACGACGACACUUUAUAUCCAGGACGGGGUGUUUUUUUUUUUUUUUUUUCUGUGUCCUAUCCCUCCCCUCUCGUGUAAUUGACGCUUUCGCCACCGCGUGCAAAGGUAUAACGUGCGCACACAAUACGAUAUUAUUAUACGAGAGAAACCCGAAGAAGAGUAGAAAAACUGACGCGAUAGGAAAAUCACCGCGCACUACGCGAAAUUACAUUACAUACGGAUAUAUGUUUUGUAUACGUAUCU